CUCAUCUCUGAUGAUGACCAUCCAUCCCCUUCUGUAUGCUUAGUGUUUUCAUUAAGCCUUCUUCCAUCAUCUAAUCACGGAAUCAAUCAAUCGAAAUUAUCAACCUUUCGAGUUCGUUGCGAAGCGAACCCAGAAUCCUCCGAACCCCAUGUGAAAGUUUCGAUUUUGUUAUAUGGGUCGAUGGUGAAUUUAGCUAAAGAGUCGCUGCUGCUUCUGUAAUCGCCACUUUGGCCUUGUUUCGUUCUUCUAUGCAGAUUGGUGUGAGGUUUGUCGAGAACUAGCCCCUGCUGAUGUUUACAAAAAUCGAGCAGCAAUACAAGGACAAAGUGAACUUUGUGAUGCUAAAUGUGGACAACACGAAAUGGGAGCAACUAUAUAAAGGCACUGUGUAUGGCAGCAUUCUAUGCGCGCUCUGAAGAGGCUCGCCAAAGAGCAUUCAGUUCACAAUCUUGCAUUGAAAUUACGGUUGCUGUAGGGUGCACUUGCGCUGGAAGAUACACUCUCCAAAGGGUUGCCAAUCCAAAAAGAGAUAGAUAUCAUUAGCACAUAUAGCAUCGUGGCUCAAGUUCAAGGAAGUGGACCAAUCUAACGGAGUCAUCGAGUCCGUAAUUACAAAGGUCGAUAAUUGUUUGGCCGAGGGAAAACUAGCAGAAGCAGCUGCUGCACUUGAAGAAGGUGUUAAAGGAAGUAAAGCAGAGGAAAUAGUGAAUGAAUGGGUGAGACGUGCGCUAGUCUCACUUGAUGCAACUUGCUGUAACUCUUCUCCAAUCUUAUGCAACUUGCGCUAGUCUCACUUGAUCAUUGAUCUUGGUCAGAGGAAGAAUCAACACCACCUAGUCUCAAUUGCUGCGUCUCUUUCUCACCCCAACACGCUGAUAGUAUUGCUUUUUAAUAAAUUUGUGUGUUUUUAUGAUGUGUAAGAGCUUGUUGACAAACAAAACUAAACUCUUGGGAUUUUUCUUUAUCAAUAUUUAUGCACCAAGCUUGUUUUUGUUAUC